CUACGGGUCGCAGCAGUGGGGAAUCUUGCGCAAUGGACGAAAGUCUGACGCAGCGACGCCGCGUGGGUGAUGAAGGCCUUCGGGUCGUAAAGCCCUGUUCUGGGGGAAGAAACCACUUCGGUGCUGACGGUACCCCAGAAGAAGGCACAGGCUAACUCCGUGCCAGCAGCCGCGGUAAUACGGAGUGUGCUAGCGUUGUUCGGAUUUAUGGGCGUAAAGCGCCUGUAGGUGGCUUGACAAGUCGGAUGUGAAAUCCCGUGGCUCAACCUCGGAACUGCAUUCGAAACUGUCUUGCUUGAGUCCGGGAGGGGGUUGCGGAAUUCCGGGUGUAGAGGUGAAAUUCGUAGAUAUACGGAGGAACACCCGUGGCGAAGGCGGCAACCUGGACCGGUACUGACGCUGAGAUGCGAAAGCGUGGGGAGCAAACAGGAUUAGAUACCCCCGUAGUC
rnacentral:rRNA from 1 species